rnacentral:lncRNA from 1 species
UUUGCAUCUGGGAAGAGGUUGUGUCCAGAGGGGCUUCUUAGUUUUACAGCUGGGUCCACUCAAACCAGUCCGACAAGCCAGCAUUACAUAGAGGAGCCCAGCCAAACACAGGCACUUCAAUCACGCUCAAUUCACUUGGGUUCUGGUAUACCUCAGAGAUAUCGUGAGUUCAGUUCCAGACCACCAAAAUAAAAUGAAUAUCGCAAUAAAGAAGCCUGUGUGACAGAGCUGGCUGGCACAGAUGCUGACAUUACAUCACAUCACAAGUUUCAGCAUAUCCAGAGCAAAGAUGAGCAGGUGCUUGGAGCAGGGGUAGAACGGGGACAAUCCUGCUCUUGCCGUAGACAGAAAGUGGUGCUUUGACCUCCUCGUCCUGUUGCUGUGAUAACGUCGUGGGUCUCCCAGGACUGCAGGGAUGAACAGGACCCAUUGCUGCAGCCCCUACCCAGGAGCUUUUCAGUGCAAUGCUUGUGUCUAUAACAGGAGAGCACUUAGGGUAGAAGUUACAGAUGGGGCUACCAGAGGAUAUUUGUCAUGGGCUUAAGAUUAUUUCAUGAAGAUUCACACUGAAACACAGCUCUUCCUGGGUCAUGAGCCUGCUGGUCUUCAGAUUGGAACUACACUAUCAGCUUUCCUGUGUCUCCAGCUUGCUGACUGUGAAUCUUUGGACUUGGGACUUGUCAGCCUCCAUAAUUUAUUGAGCCAAUUUGGUAUAAUAAAUCUCUCUCUCCCUCUCUCUCUGUAGGUAUAUAUUAUUUGUUCUGUUUCUCUGUAGAACUCUAGUAUAUCCCUUUCCCAGGGUUUGUUGUUGUGGCUAUUUGUUUGUUUAAUGACUUUCUUGAAGUAAUUCAUACAGUUGUACUCUUUGUUGUGUGCUGCCCAUGUAGUCUCUACUUGGUUAGUUUAGUGGUCAGCUAAUGAUUGAACAGACAUUUGCUUAAAUUCCAGGACCAAUAAAUCUCCCUCCCACACUUUGCUGAGAGGCUGUGUGUGUGUGUGUGUGUGUGUGUGUGUGUGUGUGUAUGUGUUGGGACACACCUUCAAUUCUAGGGAAGUUCACAACUCUGCCUUAGUCUUCACUUCUUGCUUGUACAGAACUAACUCUCAGCUAGAGUUGAGAGAUUAGGGCCUCUUCAGGUCUUUCCUGAUCAUACACACAGUCCUGCAAAUGCACAUGGCUAUCUAGAUUCCCAGGAGUAUGUCAAAACUUUUCAAAAUCUCCUACAGACCUCUAAUGACCCACACUUACCAUUUAAUUAUUUUGGUUAGCCUCUUGUUUGCCCCAGCUUGGAGUACUGCUUCAUGCAGCUGCAAUAAUAAACAAUUGCCACUGACUGUUUUCAACAAAUGGUUUGGGUAUUGAGCUUUUCUCAUGGAGUGAACUCUGAGUCAGGUCAAAUAAAGAAAAUCUUUCUAAUUUUUUUUAAGGGAGCUGACAGAUCAAACAGUGGUAAUUCUCUCCGUGUAAGGCUUUUGGAGGAGAUCCAAACCCAGCCCUGUUCAGUGGCUGCCAGGAUUUUGGUUUUCACAGCCACCAUGACUGUGAGGCUCCCAGAUUUCAAAGCUACCACAUAGUUGGAGAGAGGAAAACAGGAAUGGAGCAAGUUAAAACACCACAAAAUGUACUAUUCUUAUCAAAGUUUAGCCCUUUUUUUUGAAUAAAUGCUUCUCUAAUUGUUGCAAGUCUUUGGUUAAUUUCCAAAGUUCUGAAAAGGUUAAUUUUGGCCAUUUGGGGCCAGUUUUUAAAUUGCUUUUAUAUACAACAGAUUUUGUCAGGUUCUUACUCUGCCAGUUUAGAAGUGCUUCCUCUAUUCUGCAAGUUUUACACGUUCAAAACUUUUGUCUGUCAUCUUUACACUUGCUGGAAAUAAAAGUUUGGCU